AGACGAUGACAGCCAGUUCAUUAGCAUGUGCCCUAAAACGAAUAGCAAUAGAUUAAUGCCAUAUCACCUGCUCCAGUGUGUACAUAUAUAGGCUGUACCCGCCUGUGCCCUGUUACGGGUGAGAGGGUGAACUAUCAUCACCGGCAUCGUCCUACUAUGUGUGAAUUCGCUUUAGCUUGCGAGACGACUCUUCACGUGCAUUUUAAACGGUGAAAAUACGAGAGCAAGAGACACGCUGCUACGGAAAUGCAGCCAGGACAGCAACAGCAGCACCGUCCGUGGUACACCAAGAAGCAGCAGCCAAGGCAGAAGAAGUGCAAAACCGGAACAUCCGGAACAGCUUGUGGCAAGGCCAGUCGAUCCCAAGCGAAAUGGUGGUAAUGUAGUUCGAAUAGCAGCAGCAGCACCACCACCACCACCAAUCCCCGCUGGUCGCUGGGUGCGAGUAAUAAUGGUGGAAUAAAAGAAUUUAAUUUUAACUUGUGCUGCUCAUUCCCCAACGGCUUCUAGUCGAGUCGAGGAUGAAGCUGCUAAAGUCGAGGAUGAAGCAGAAACAAAGGCAGAACGAGCCACACCAACGCCACAUAGCAAAGGGAAAGGCUGGAAGCUGACCAGCCGAGCGCGGUUGAGCAGGGAAAUGAAAGAAAAGUGCAAUUUCCAGUUGGGAAACUUAUUUAAACAUCUCGGGAGAUAACUUUUUAUCCUGUUACACUGCCUGGUGCGAACACGGCGGUACACACAGCACAAGUAGGGUGGAUUUCCGGUUUCUUUGCCUUUUGUUUCCUGUGCACAGCGAGCGGGGCAGGUUUAGGGAGUGAGCGGGCGCACCUCGGGAAGGUGGAGACGGGGUUUAGUUAACACGUACGUGCCAUGCCCUACGAUGCUGUUCUGGUGGUUCCGGCUUCCGGUUGUGACGCCCGGCACACUCUGCUGUUUGCUUUGAGUGUCCUCCGACCGUCGAGUGGGGAACAUCGAAUGUGGCAACUGGCGGGCGUCUGUGCCUGCUAACGAUAUCGUUAGCGCUUCAAUUCCCGCUGAGAGAUGGAGCACACGUGCCGGGCGGGCAAGGAGACAUGCUAAAGGUUAGUCGUUUAAUUGAGUAAUGGUGUGAACAGUUAAGCAGUCGCAGCAUAACGAGCUCGGCCACAGACGCGUACACUCCGGCAUGGGUACGGAUGGGCUACGGUGGCCCGGGUACAUUGGGCAAUGAGUGAGAAAUACAAAAAAGAACCACCCGAUGAUAAGCGAAGACGUUGGACCAGGGUGAAAGGUUGUUGAUGUUGAUGGAUGAUAAGAACUAUACGAUAUGAAAAUUACAAAAACUUUCAGUGCUGCUCGUCUUGCCCCCCUCGUCGCCAUAUAUCGUUGAAAUGGGAAGGGCUUGAUGAGUGGUGGCACCAAGAGAAAAAUAUAGCCAUAACAUAAUUGCACAUGGUCAUGAUGGGCACCGAAACUGAUCGCAAGAAUUCACUCCGUGCGCGCGUUUUGUCAAGGAUAUGUGCGCGUGUGCGCGAUAAGCGAGUGGUGGCCAGCAGCAUCCAGAAGAAUGCACGCUCCCGAAACGAAAGUCAGUGUGCGUUAGUGCGGGCUGGGAAGAUUUAUUACCAUCCGUGUGAUGCUCGCAGAGCAAAUCGCGAAGUUCGUAUGACCAAAGUUUUCCCCAAAGAAAGUAGUGUGGUGGAGCGGUAUCUAUCGUGCGUAAACUACGCUAAAACUUGCCUCGCAAUAAAAUGAUAAAUGAGAGCUA